rnacentral:rRNA from 1 species
CACGUGAGCGAUCUGCCCUCGACACUGGGAUAGCCCGGGGAAACCCGGAUUAAUACCGGAUAGCCUUUCGAGCCCACGGGCUCGUCAGAAAAGAUGGCUUCGGCUUUCGGUCGAGGAGGAGCUUGCGGCGGAUUAGCUUGUUGGUGAGGUAACGGCUCACCAAGGCGACGAUCCGUAGCUGGUCUGAGAGGACGAUCAGCCACACUGGGACUGAGACACGGCCCAGACUCCUACGGGAGGCAGCAGUGGGGAAUCUUGCGCAAUGGGCGAAAGCCUGACGCAGCGACGCCGCGUGAGGGA